UACGGGGGGAGCAAGCGUUGUUCGGAUUUACUGGGCGUAAAGGGCGCGUAGGCGGUCAGCACAAGUCAGUUGUGAAAUCUCCGGGCUUAACUCGGAAAGGUCAACUGAUACUGUGCGACUAGAGUGCAGAAGGGGCAACUGGAAUUCUCGGUGUAGCGGUGAAAUGCGCAGAUAUCAGGAGGAACACCGGUGGCGAAGGCGGAUCUCUGGGCCUGUUCUGACGCUGAGGCGCGAAAGCUAGGGGAGCGAACAGG
rnacentral:rRNA from 1 species